rnacentral:sRNA from 1 species
GCCGAGCUGGUGGCUCAGGCCUGUAAUCCUGAGGCAAGUAGGGGCUGGUGGAUCACUUGAGCUCAGGACCUCUGAGCUGCAGCAGGGCUAAAGCCAAGCAGGUGCCCACACUAAGUUGGGCACCAGUGUGGUGGCCCCUGAGGGCAGGGGGCUACAGCUGCCUAAGGAGAGAUGAAUGGCCCAGGUCAGAGAUGGAGCAGGUCAAGUUUCCAUGCCAGUCGGCAGUGGAAUUGGGCCCCUGAGGGUCAAGAUAGGGAGACAUUAGUUUUGCUUUUUU